UCAACCGGGAGGGUGGCGCCGAAUACUGAGGGACUAGAGUGUGGGAGAGGAAAGUGGAAUUCCUGGUGUAGCGGUGAAAUGCGUAGAUAUCAGGAGGAACACCGGUGGUGUAGACGGCUUUCUGGACCAUAACUGACGCUGAGACACGAAAGCGUGGGUAGCAAACAGGAUUAGAUACCUGGUAGUCCACGCCCUAAACGAUGCAUAUUUGGUGUGGGUCAUUCAGUUGAUCCGUGCCGGAGCUAACGCGUUAAAUAUGCCGCCUGGGGAGUACAGUCGCAAGGCUGAAACUCAAAGGAAUUGACGGGGGCCCGCACAAGCGGUGGAGCAUGUGGUUCAAUUCGACGCAACGCGAAGAACCUUACCUGGGCUCGAACGGCUUCUCAACGCCGGUAGAAAUACCGGUACCCCGCAAGGGGGUGGAGUCGAGGUGCUGCAUGGCUGUCGCCCGCUCGUGUCGUGAGAUGUUGGGUUAAGUCCCGCAACGAGCGCAACCCUUGUCCUGUGUUGCCAUCAUUCAGUUGGGAACUCGCAGGAGACCGCCAGCGAUAAGCUGGAGGAAGGUGGGGAUGACGUCAAGUCCUCAUGGCCUUUAUGUCCAGGGCUACACACGUGCUACAAUGGACGGUACAAACCGCAGCAAACCCGCGAGGGGGAGCCAAUCGGAAAAAACCGUUCUCAGUUCGGAUUGCAGGCUGCAACUCGCCUGCAUGAAGCUGGAAUCGCUAGUAAUGGCAGAUCAGCACGCUGCCGUGAAUACGUUCCCGGGCCUUGUACACACCGCCCGUCACAUCACGAAAGUGGAUUGUACUAGAAGUCAAUAGCUGACCCGCAAGGGGGGCAGCGGCCCAAGGUAUGAUCCAUGAUGGGGAAGCGACAGUGUCAAUACAAAGC
rnacentral:rRNA from 1 species